rnacentral:rRNA from 1 species
GAUGAACGCUGGCGGCGUGCUUAACACAUGCAAGUCGAACGGAAAGGCCCAAGCUUGCUUGGGUACUCGAGUGGCGAACGGGUGAGUAACACGUGGGUGAUCUGCCCUGCACUUCGGGAUAAGCCUGGGAAACUGGGUCUAAUACCGGAGAGGACCACAUUUUGGAUGGUGUGGUGGAAAGUUUUUCGGUGUGGGAUGAGCUCGCGGCCUAUCAGCUUGUUGGUGGGGUAAUGGCCUACCAAGGCGUCGACGGGUAGCCGGCCUGAGAGGGUGUACGGCCACAUUGGGACUGAGAUACGGCCCAGACUCCUACGGGAGGCAGCAGUGGGGAAUAGUGCACAAUGGGCGCAAGCCUGAUGCAGCGACGCCGCGGGGGGGAUGACGGCCUUCGGGUUGUAAACUCCUUUCGCUAGGGACGAAGCGGUUUUGUGACGGUACCUGGAGAAGAAGCACCGGCUAACUACGUGC